CAAAAGUAGAUCUUCUCCUCACUUCACCACCUCCGGUCAGCCACCUCCGGCGGCAUUCCGGCGACUUUUCCGGCCAGUAAAGGUGCUCCAACUUUGAGACCUACACUCACACUUCACUUGAGAAGGAUUUAAGGAACAAGUGUGGUUCUUGAAUCAAUUCAAGAGAAAGCUUGAAUUUCUUGAGUUGGUGGACUACCAAGGUUCAAGGUUAGGGAAUUGGCGUGACGUGUACUUUGCUUCCUUGGUGAGGAUUGCGUGGUU